CCCGGGACCCCUUCUCUUGCCGUCCCCCAUUCACACGUACCCCCCACCCCACGCCCCCUCGGCGCCGCUUUUCGCUCCCCUCCUCCGCGGGCCCAGAACGGCCGCCGGCCGCCGCGGCGGCUUUGGAAUCCGGUGUAGCGGCCCACGGUGCUGCCUCGCCGCGGGUGGGGUAAGAGGCGGGUGUGUGCGGGGUAGCCGCCGGUGCUGCCUGCGGCGCGGCAGGGCAGGGAAAGGCCACCCCAAAUAGCAUCCUGUUCCCCUCCCCCGGCGCUGAGAGCAGAUCUGAGCAGAGCCGGCGGGGCGAUUUCGGUGGGUGUUUUCCAAUAAAACUGGAUUUCGCCAGAGCCCCCCCCCCCCUCCGCGCGCCGCCGCCAAGUUGGAGGCAGCAGCGACCCGAAGUCGAGGGCUCCGCUGUCCCCGGGAGUGCGAGCGGCCGGUGGGGUUAACCCGCCGCCACGGAGACGGCCGCUCCCGGUGACUGGAACGUGACCCGGCGCGGCCCGUCCCCCAGCCCGCCCCAGCGGCGGAGCCCCGGGAGCCCCGAGCUUCUCUUCCCUCCCGCCAACGCGGGCGGCACCGGCGAAACCCGGGGCGGGGGGGGGGCGGGGGGGAAGCUCGGAAAUGGAGGAGCUGCCGCCCGCCCCGGGGCCGUGACCGAGAGCGAUCCCACCCCGGGGCCGGAGGCACAAGCUGAGGUUUAUAUAUUUACCUCUCACGAAAGCAGAGGGCUAUCAUCGGACCCCUGACACCAUGGCAUUUAGUUUUUCCAUCUGUCAUCAUUUAAUUUGGCAGUUACUUUGCCAAAUGAAGACUAAUCUUUCGUAUCGCCGCAUUUUGCUCCAUGCUGCGAUUUAGAAAUGUAAAUAGAUGACAUCAGGUUUGUACAUCCACCCUGCUGACGGGGAUAGCACCUGGAAGUCCGUGCUAAACUCGGGAUCUCUGGGGGCUGUGCCAGCCCGGCAGCUGCUGCCUCACGUAGCACCAAGGUUGCUCUGAUCUGCAGGAGCUUGCACCUACGGGGGACAGGGAUGAUACGCCUCACUCAGCAAAACUUUGGAAAAAUUUUAAACAAAGUAUGCAAGUUGCAUCAUCAGACUUGAGAAAGGAACAAUAGAAACAUAUUUUCUCUGGCACUCACUGCAAACAGUAGAAGCCUUGUCUGAAAUUAGGAAAGAAAAUGGUGAGCUUAAUAGGACUAUUGUGUACGUGGUGCUGAUGGUGUAUGGAGUUCACUUUUGUGCCUAAAGGAGAAGACGGAGAUUUACUAAGCGGUUGUCUGUUGUCUGGAGCUUCCUCGUCCACACAAACACUUAAAUUAAGUGCCCGAGGUUAGCCAGUGGGGAAUAUGCCUUGAGCCCUCUACCACAGACUUCCAUGUGCUAGACCAGACAUAAUAUGUGCCUCAGAUUUGAUAACUAGAAAUCCAAUCUCUCCUCCUGGGUACACAUAAUAUUUGAAAAGCAAUGAUUAUGAACUCUUUAACUGUUCCUGUCUACAGUGCCAAUUCUUUGAACUUCACAAUUGGCAUUUUCUUCUUUUUCUAUACAAAAGUGAAACUUAAACACACCAGCUGCUUUGCAAGUUGUGAUGCCGCAUGAUUUUCUCACCAGUUUUGUUCUGAGACCUAUCAAACUCUGAAUAAUUUUCUGCUUUCAUAAGCUAUCAUAUUAACUUUGAUGGAGUGAUGCUGCUUGGAUCAACAUAGAAAUUCAAUUCAAUAGCCCAUGAUGCGGAAACUUGUUUGUAUAGCAGUAACAUAAAAAUAAUAAACCCUGCCACUUCCUUGCGGAUUUCAACAUAAAGGCCUACUGACCAACUUGAGAUGUGUUUGAGUUAUGUGCCACCAAAGCCUACACAGCUGAGAAGAUGCUACAAAAUGAAGUAGAACAGGAAAGAAAUCAGAAGUACUUUAGUGACCUGAAUGCACGACACUAAGGUGGUGAAAGUGAUGUAAAAGGCAUUAAAUUGAAGUCUGAGACACAGUUUUCUUGAAGCUACUGGGUGUGUCAGAAGGGGAGACUUGUGUUUUAAGGAACUUCCAGUUUGCCUUUGACACUGCUGCAAUAAUUUAAAAAAAAAAAAAAAGUUUUAGUCCCAGUAAUUGAAUAUGGUUUCUGCAGAACCUUGUAAAUCCUUCAGAUGAAAGAUCUGUGUAGUGGGAGUUAGAGGAGGUCCCCUGGUGUCCCUUUCAACAACAAAACAAGAUUUGUUCAGUAUAGAUGUUUGGCUACUUGAAAUUCAUUAUCCAUCUGUAAAGAUGAUAGCACAAAUCUCUAUCAGUAAAGUCUAAAGGCUGCAGCCAAACCUUUAAAAGGCCUUCUGUGUCAGCAUGAAAAGUUAGUGGUGUUCUGCAGGUUUCUACAUCUAUCUCCUAUGCUGUUAACUGCCACUGAACUGAGAAGAGAUGAAAAAGAGUAAAUUUCAUUAGAGAAAGGGGUGGGGUAAGAUGCCUGAUAGAGGAAGGUGGGAAAAGUUUCCUUUGGUAUGCAAUGAAACUUCAGUAUCAAAGAAUCACUGCAGCCUUUAAAAGGGGAUUUUUAAUAGCUCAGUGUACUUACAACUUGUAUGGCAAGAGCCUUGUUGGAGGUGAUCUACUGUUCUCAGGCCAGUUUUUAUGCAGACUGAGCAAAAGCAGCUCCAGAAGCUAAGCUAGUGCAUCCACUUAAUAUACUCAUCUUGGAUCUUCACAGUAUUGGCUUUUUGGCUGCAACGCUGGAUCUGCUUCAGCAACAGAGCCAGCAGCUAUUGGUUUCCUCUGUUGUCACCAGUAGAUACCAGUGCGGUGAUGUGGAAUUACUACCAAAUGCUUCAAACAGUGACAUGGGCAUCUCCUUUGUUCUUCCCCAGGCAGCUGCCCAGAGGCCAUUAAUCCGUGACGGGAAAGAGGAGGAUUUGGCAGUGAUUUGACUUGUACAUUGACAGAAGGCACAUGAACAACUAUUUAUUUCCAGAGCCUUCCUGGGACCGUACAAAAUGGUGUCUCCGUGAACACAGGAGGAAGGGAGGUGCUUGGUCACAGCUCCAGCUCUCGCUGCCCCCACCUCUCCCAAGGGGGCAUCCCCUGUAGCACUGUCCCGCUGGAGUUUGCCUGGAGUGGCCAAGUUCAGAUUUUCAGAGAGAAAGCCAGAAGGCUUUGGAGAACAGAGGGGAAACUCACAGAAGAAAGUGAUUUAGGAUUCCUGUUGGCUCUCCGCUGAGUUUUGCCCCUCUCUACAGGCUAGUCAUGGAAGAUGGGCACAAUCUACCUCCUCAGUAAACAUGAGGAGAUGCUUCCUGAGUGUACACACGUAGCAGUCACUCUGUCUGUCUCAUGGGCCAUGCUUUCCUCCACUGGCAUUCCAAUUAGAUAUUUUUAUCCCACGAUUUCUAGGUCUGGGAUUUAAUGAAGCAGCAAUAUUUUCUGCUUGCUUACGGCCUGUGCUAUGGCAUCAUCUCGUACCAGCUGAUGGAUGAGGAUAGAAGAAUAAUAAGAAAAAACAAACCAAAAAACACAGAGCUUUAUCUAAUGCCACAUCUAGCAACAAGCAGG